CUCAAGUAACACCAAGGAACAGGAGCUGAAGCUGAAGCCUGGCGCUCCUCUGGUGAUGACGCAUAAGAUCAGCUUGAUGCCUGGUGGAUGCACUGGUGGAUGUGAGGCUGAGAUGGCGGCACUGAAAGGACGAGUGGCCCGACUGGAAAAAGAGAUGUCAUCGCUAAAAGAAAAAUGUCCCUGUUCGGUAAACUGUCCAAAUGACUGUAGCGGCAAUGGGGAUUGUGAGAAGGGGAAAUGUGUCUGCCAACAGGGGUUCACAGGUGUAGACUGCAGUAGGUGUACACAAGGAGCAGAGUGUAAUAAAAAAACUGCCAAAGGGAAGAUCAAGGUAACAGUGGAGACAGUAACCCUGCAGGUGAACCAAGACAGGGGAAAUGCACAGGAGAGAACCACCAA
ensembl:lncRNA